AGGACGAACGCUGGCGGCGUGCUUAACACAUGCAAGUCGAACGGAAUACAAGGAGCUUGCUCCGAACUAUUUAGUGGCGAACGGGUGAGUAUCACGUGAGCAACCUGCCCCGAAGACUGGGAUAACACCGGGAAACCGGUGCUAAUACCGGAUGUCUUUCAAUGAUCGCAUGAUCGAUGAAAGAAAUGUUUUUUCGCUUUGGGAGGGGCUCGCGGUCCAUCAGCUUGUUGGCGGGUAACGGCCCACCAAGGCUACGACGGAUAGCUGGUCUGAGAGGACGAUCAGCCACACUGGAACUGAGACACGGUCCAGACUCCUACGGGAGGCAGCAGUGGGGAAUCUUGCGCAAUGGACGAAAGUCUGACGCAGCAACGCCGCGUGAGGGACGAAGGCUUUCUGAGUUGUAAACCUCUUUCGACAGGAACGAUUGUGACGGUACCUGUAGAAGAAGCACCGGCCAACUAUGUGCCAGCAGCCGC
rnacentral:rRNA from 1 species